rnacentral:tRNA from 1 species
GGCUCCAUAGUGUAAUGGUUAGCACAUCUGCUUUACAUGCAGAAGGUCAUGAGUUUGCACCCCAGGUAGAGCCA